GAUGAACGCUGGCGGCGUGCCUAAUACAUGCAAGUCGAGCGAACAGACGAGGAGCUUGCUCCUCUGACGUUAGCGGCGGACGGGUGAGUAACACGUGGAUAACCUACCUAUAAGACUGGGAUAACUUCGGGAAACCGGAGCUAAUACCGGAUAAUAUAUUGAACCGCAUGGUUCAAUAGUGAAAGACGGUUUUGCUGUUACUUAUAGAUGGAUCCGCGCCGCAUUAGCUAGUUGGUAAGGUAACGGCUUACCAAGGCAACGAUGCGUAGCCGACCUGAGAGGGUGAUCGGCCACAUUGGAACUGAGACACGGUCCAGACUCCUACGGGAGGCAGCAGUAGGGAAUCUUCCGCAAUGGGCGAAAGCUUGACGGAGCAACGCCGCGUGAGUGAUGAAGGUCUUCGGAUCGUAAAACUCUGUUAUUAGGGAAGAACAAAUGUGUAAGUAACGAUGCACGUCUUGACGGUACCUAAUCAGAAAGCCACGGCUAACUACGU
rnacentral:rRNA from 1 species